UUUGGAGAUAUCUUGUUUUAAAUGUUAGGGAGCAUAUUUUGGAAUUUUCAAAGAAAACAUUUAUCUAAGUGUGACAAGAUUCAGGAAAUGUUUGGUUGUUGUAAUUGAACCUAAAGAUUAAUGACCUGGGACAGGAAGAUAAACAAAAGAAACAUGAUAGUAAAAAGGUUCAGAGUCAGCUUGUAAGCAAGUUUGCAAGACUGUUCCAAACUACAAGAAGAUGGCAAUCCAGCUUUGCUGUGUUUUAUCAUAUUAUUCAUUGGCAUUGGCAUCGAUUAAGGAAGCCAACUGUAGACCAGGAAAGGCUUCAAGGAAUAUACUACAGAAUAAUGUAUCCUGGAGGAUUUUCCACAUGUGACCCCUGUGAUGGUGAGGGAAAAACUAAGGGACAUUUUAAAAGCAUGAAGAGUGAACAGGAAUUCAAAAGAUAGAUAUUUGAAUACAUUAAAAUAUAGCCGGAUACCAAAAAAUAAUAACUGAACAUUGAUUGUAAUAUUUACCAUUAAAGACUAUAACUAACUUAACUUUUCAUUUGUAGUGCAUUACUAUUUACUUCACACUGACAUUAAAUGUUUCAUUGAGUCAUUUGAUCAUUUUUUGCUCUGUAUUAUUAUAAAGAAGUUUCUUUAAGUUAAUUCCUUAAAAGGACAAUAUAAUUGCUCUUUUCAGAAUAUUUCAUUGGAUGUUAUAUUUUCUGAUUUUCCAUGGAUAUUCUAGAAAUUUCCAAGGUUUUUGCUCAAUAAACCUUUGGAAAAUUCUCUGAUGCCCUUAAGUAAGAAUUUUCGUAAAAAUAUAACAGUAUUCCCAGUUGUGAGAAACUUUCCGAGGUUUUCAUUUAAAAACCUUGGAAAACAAACCACGGAAACACUUUAAAAAUCCUUGGAAAUCGUUCCAAUACUCCGAGGACUCACUCAUUUUCCAAGGUUUUCUAAAAAAAUCCUCGGAAAUUAUUUUACGAGGUUUUUAUUCUGAAAUCCUUGGAAAUCGUUCCAAUACUCCGAGGUCAUACUUUUUACGAGGUUUUUUUUUAAAAAAAACUCGGAAAUUUUUUACAAGGUUUUUCACCCUCUCCCUAUUUUUCCAAGGUUUUUUUAAUAGCAAAGUUUUGCAUUUUCUUGUUCCAAUACUCCGAGGUUUUUUUCCAAGGAUUUUGAGCCAAAAACCUUGGAAAAUCUACACCCGGGAUG